CUAGCCUGCAUGACUGAACACAGUACGCUGAACAUACAGUUAUCCUGUGAUUUCAAAAGCUAAGCAGGUUCAGCCUGAUUAGAACUUGGAGGGGAGACCACCAGGGAAUUCUAGGG
rnacentral:rRNA from 1 species